AUGCUCAUUUUGGCCACAUAUGCACUAAAACUGGAACAAUACAGAGAAGAUUAGCAUGACCUCUGUGUAAAGAUGACACACAAAUUCAGAAAGCAUUCCAUAUUUUU